rnacentral:rRNA from 1 species
UACGAAGGGUUCAAACGUUAUUCGGAAUCACUGGGCGUAAAGGGUGCGUAGACGGUAUGUUAAGUUCGUCGUUAAAGGCUCCGGCCUAACCGGAGUACCGCGAUGAAAACUGGCGUGCUAGAGGGUGAGAGAGAGAAGUGGAAUUCCUGGAGUAGCGGUAAAAUGCGUGGAUCUCAGGAGGAACACCAAUGGCGAAGGCAGCUUCUUGGCUCAUUCCUGACGUUGAGGCACGAAAGCGUGGGGAG